AAUUCACAAUAUGGUUUUUAAUGAACAAAUUAGACAAAAAAAAAAGUGGAAAUAUAAUUUAAUUUGCAAGGCUGCCAGUUUCAUAUAUUGUGCAAUUGUUUUUUCCUGAUAACAUUCACAUGUCGGAAGUAUGGCAAGCAUCACAACCGCAUUACAAUCGCCAUUUACCCAUUUCGUCGAACACUUGGCAUACACUAACAAUACCCUGCGGAAAUCAUGUUUAAAUCCACCAAGUUAAAAAAGGAAAAAUUAUAAGUCACAUAUAUUUUUGGUUUUAGUUUAAUUAUAGUUUAAUUGACGACGGUGCUGUAGGUUUUUGCCGUUGAUGGUGAUGAGGGCGCUCAUUCCAGGACUGAGAAGGAAAUAUCCAUCUCACGAAUAUGUAUCAGCUGUCAUUUUAGUUGUGGAGUUAAUCCUUUUCACUUUAGCAGAUGCAAAAACUUCUCAUAAUUUCAGCAUCAUACGCAUUGUUAUGAUACUGGUGCUUUAAUCAUGGAUUCCUUUCUUGAUAAUUUACAAGAAGCUAUUUUUACAAUGAAUCCUGAAACCACUCGGACGGAAAUGCUGUUUUGUUCAAGUGUAGUGAGUUUGCUUUCUUGAUCCCUCCCAUGCUUUUGACAGGAGAGUUAUUCAAAGCUUGGAAUUCAUAUUAUCAGGUAACUCAUCAAAGAAUUGCCAACAAGGCGAGAAGGCGGUGAUAUUGCUCCUAUCAUACAUAAUCUUUACGAAGUCAUUAACGAACAGCACGGGACCGACGCCAUUGCAAAUUAAAAAAAAAAAGGAAGAAAAGAAAAGAGAAAUAAAAAUCAUAGAAAGAGAGACAGAGCUGGAGAGAUGAAUGGUAAAGUUAGGGGUAUUAAAGUCUUUUACUUGUGUUUUAACGGCAAAAUUGUCCCGAUCCAAAACUGUGGCCAGACCGAUAGUAGAGCUCAAAUAAACUUAAAGCCCCAAAGACUCAUAGUAAGUUUAAUUCACAAAAUCUAUUUCUUUAGACCGUAUCUAAGAACAAUAAGCUCAUAAUAUGAUGUUAGUAAAUCAUUUGUCAAUUUA